rnacentral:rRNA from 1 species
CGGCAGCACGGGGCAACCUGGUGGCGAGUGGCGAACGGGUGAGUAAUAUAUCGGAACGUACCCAGAAGUGGGGGAUAACGCAGCGAAAGUUGCGCUAAUACCGCAUACGAUCUACGGAUGAAAGUGGGGGACCUGCAAGGGCCUCAUGCUUUUGGAGCGGCCGAUAUCUGAUUAGCUAGUUGGUGAGGUAAAGGCUCACCAAGGCAUCGAUCAGUAGCUGGUCUGAGAGGACGACCAGCCACACUGGAACUGAGACACGGUCCAGACUCCUACGGGAGGCAGCAGUGGGGAAUUUUGGACAAUGGGGGCAACCCUGAUCCAGCAAUGCCGCGUGAGUGAAGAAGGCCUUCGGGUUGUAAAGCUCUUUUGUCAGGGAAGAAACGGUGGUCUCUAAUAUAGAUUACUAAUGACGGUACCUGAAGAAUAAGCACCGGCUAACUACGUGCCAGCAGCCGCGGUAAUACGUAGGGUGCAAGCGUUAAUCGGAAUUACUGGGCGUAAAGCGUGCGCAGGCGGUUAUGUAAGUCAGCUGUGAAAUCCCCGGGCUUAACCUGGGAAUGGCAGUUGAGACUGCAUGGCUAGAGUGUGUCAGAGGGGGGUAGAAUUCCACGUGUAGCAGUGAAAUGCGUAGAGAUGUGGAGGAAUACCGAUGGCGAAGGCAGCCCCCUGGGAUAACACUGACGCUCAUGCACGA